CCUACGGGAUGCAGCAGUGAGGAAUAUUGGUCAAUGGACGAGAGUCUGAACCAGCCAAGUAGCGUGAAGGAUGACUGCCCUAUGGGUUGUAAACUUCUUUUAUAUGGGAAUAAAAUGUUCCACGUGUGGGAUUUUGUAUGUACCAUAUGAAUAAGGAUCGGCUAACUCCGUGCCAGCAGCCGCGGUAAUACGGAGGAUCCGAGCGUUAUCAGGAUUUAUUGGGUUUAAAGGGAGCGUAGGUGGAUUGUUAAGUAAGUUGUGAAAGUUUGCGGCUCAACCGUAAAAUUGCAGUUGAAACUGGCAGUCUUGAGUACAGUAGAGGUGGGCAGAAUUCGUGGUGUAGCGGUGAAAUGCUUAGAUAUCACGAAGAACUCCGAUUGCGAAGGCAGUUCACUGGACUGCAACUGACACUGAGGCUCGAAAGUGUGGGUAUCAAACAGGAUUAGAUACCCGGGUAGUC
rnacentral:rRNA from 1 species